GUUAAAUUAAAAAUUAUUAUAAAAUAAUUCAGAGGAUUUUUGAGCAAGUAGGGGAUAAAGGCUCAAAAAUAAAAAUAAAUCAAACUUUUGAAUUUAAUUUUGUUAUAUAAACCAAAGUCACUGAUACAUGGACAAUUAAACCUCUUCCUAACCCACAUGUUUUAAAAGGCAUUACAAUUCAGCAUGGAAUUAUCUGCUUCUACUUAUGUUAAAACUGAGACCUGACAUAGCAUUUUGCAACUUGAUGCUCCACAUUCACUGACAAAACCAGAAGCCCAAUCUGUAAAAUAAUUGGAAAGGUUCCCAUCAUAUUGUGUUUAUAAUGGUCAUGAUGUUUGUUUGCAGAAUCAAUGUCUGACAUGUACUUCAUCCAUGAACUCAAACUUCAGUCCUACUAAUGAGGGAAAAUAACAACUGAAGACAGAAAGGAAUAAAGAAAGAAAGAAAGAAAGAAGGAAGAAGGAAGUAAGGAUGAAAUAAGAAACAAUGACAAUCAAGUUGCAAACUGUAGAGUCUGCAUAUACUUCAUGACCUGCAUAAUAGCAUGGGCUUUACAUGCAUGCAGAGUCAGGGAAUCUGACCCACCUGCAUUUCUUGCCAAUUUCCAGGUCCACAUAUCCUGCUGAUGAUGUGUGGCUAUGUGUCCUUCUGAAAGAAGUUUUGGAUAAUGAGUAACUGAAGCUGGACAAAAUCUUCACUUUUGAGUGAGUGCUGUUUGAAUCAUUCUAGAGAAUAUGUGUUACUUGAAUUUUCAGACCUUAGAAGAGGAUUCACAGUAAAACAUGGUUGUUUGUAGUAACCAAUUUAAACCAUGUGCCAAACAGGAAACAAAAGCUGAAAUGAAGUGAUAAAAAGUAACUUUCAGGGCUAGAAAGAUGACUAAAAAGAGCCUGUGCUUUUCACAAAAUGCAACCAAUUGUCAAGAAUAUGUCAUGAACUGCUCAAUGUUGUAAACUUUUGGAUAUCCUUUAAAUAUGAGUUUCUUUAAAUUCACAUUUGCUUCACACAAUGUUUCCUCCAGGGUAAGCCAGUCUAAUAAAAUUUUGAGUGUCUGGAAUGAUGACUCAAGUUUUGGAGCAUUGGCUCCUCCUGUAGAAUUGGGAUGAAUUUCUUGCACCUAGAUUGUAACUCCAUUUGCAGAGGUUUAUAUUUCUGCCUCUGGUCUACAAUAGCACCAUGAAAUUGUGUACUAUACAGACAGGCAUUUAGGGAAACAUUUCAACACUAAAUUGUAACAUAUGUUAAAAUUUUUUCUGACAAAGUUUAGAGUACAAAAAUAAAUUUUUCAUAUUUUUAUAUAGCAAAACAUACAAUUAUGAAAGGGUGACCUUAAUUGUUCUUGAAAUGCUCUGAUCAGUUUCCUACACAUAUUUGUGAAAUAAACCAUGCUGAAUGAAAACAAAA